CUGAACCUGUCUCUCCAAUCAAGACCAUUACCUGCUGCAAAUGUAUUUGCUGCAAAAUCUCCCUUCUAUAACCAUAUAUCGGCAACCCAUCUUCAAGACGCUUAGACUCUCUCAAUAGCAAACUAUGUAUUUUAUGCCAAUUAAAACCCUUGCCAAUUUUAAACCCCAAAACGGCCAAAUCCUCAACCUCCUUCCCCUCCAGAUGAUCCAUCACACACUUCACUGCGCACUUAAACUCCUCAAUCCUAUUCAAAAUUAGAUCCUUCUCUUCCACCAACCGCUUCUUC
rnacentral:misc_RNA from 1 species